rnacentral:rRNA from 1 species
AUGGGAUUGGGGAGCGACGCGAGCUCGUCGUCGUCGCGGCUGGACUCGGCGCCGCUGCUGCCGCACCACAGCGCCGAGGGGGGGCACCUGUCGUCGCAGCCCAAGACCUUCGCGAACGUGUUCAUCGCUGUGGUCGGCGCCGGCGUGCUGGGCCUGCCCUACACGUUCUCGCGCACCGGCUGGGCCGCGGGCUCCAUCCUGCUCCUCUCCGUCGCGCUGCUCACCUUCUACUGCAUGAUGCUGCUCGUCGCCUGCCGCCGCCGCCUCGCCGACGACCACCCGAAGAUGCUCUCCUCGUUUGGGGAUCUGGGGGACGCCGUGUUCGGCGCGCCCGGCCGCCUCGCCGUGGACACCAUGCUGGUGCUCAGCCAGGCCAGCUUCUGCGUCGGGUACCUCAUCUUCAUCUCCAACACCAUGGCGCACCUCUACCCCGUCUUCGCCCCCUCCUCGAACGUCUUCCUCUCCCCUAAGGCGCUCUUCAUCUACGCCAUGCUGCCGUUCCAGCUCGGGCUCAACUCCAUCAAGACGCUCACGCUCCUCGCGCCGCUCAGCAUCUUCGCCGACGUCGUCGACCUCGGCGCCAUGGGGGUCGUUGUUGGCCAGGACGUGUCGACUUGGCUCGCCGCGCACCCACCCGUCGCCGCGUUCGGCGCCCCCGCCGCGCUCCUCUACGGUGCGGGCGUGUCCGUGUACGCCUUCGAGGGCGUCUGUAUGGUCCUGCCGCUGGAGGCGGAGGCCGCGGACAAGAAGAAGUUCGGCGCCACGCUCGGGCUGUCCAUGGCGUUCAUAGCUGUCAUGUACGGGCUGUUCGGCGUCAUGGGGUACGUCGCGUUCGGCGACGCCACGCGCGACAUCAUCACCACCAACCUCGGCAGCGGGUGGCUGUCGGCCGCCGUGCAGCUGGGGCUGUGCAUCAACCUCUUCUUCACCAUGCCGGUGAUGAUGAACCCGGUGUACGAGGUCGCCGAGCGCCUGUUCCACGGAAAGCGCUACUGCUGGUGGAUGCGGUGGGUGCUCGUGGUCACCGUGGGGCUCGCGGCCAUGCUUGUGCCCAAUUUCACCGACUUCCUCUCCCUCGUGGGGAGCAGCGUCUGCGUGCUGCUCGGCUUCGUGCUGCCGGCCACCUUCCACAUCAAGGUGUUCGGCGCCGAGAUGGGCUGGGUCGGGGUUCUCAGCGACGUCCUCCUGGUGGUGCUCGGCCUCGUGCUCGCCGUCUUCGGCACCUACUCGUCGCUGGUGCAAAUCUUCCACUCUUCCAGCGCUUAA